rnacentral:rRNA from 1 species
AUUCCAGCUCCAAUAGCGUAUAUUAAAGUUGUUGCGGUUAAAAAGCUCGUAGUUGGAUUUCUGCUGAAGCAAACCGGUCCGCCCUCUGGGUGAGCAUCUGGCUUUAUUUUGGCAUAUGCUUAGACUUUGCAGCUGCACUUGACUGUGUGGUGUGAAGGCUAAGCCAUUUACUUUGAGGAAAUCAGAGUGUUUCAAGCAGGCAAUUGCCUUGAAUACACUAGCAUGGAAUAAUAUGAUAUGACUGUGGUUUUAUUUUGUUGGCUUCUAGAAUUAGAGUAAUGGUUAAUAGGGAUAGUUGGGGGCAUUCAUAUUUAACUGUCAGAGGUGAAAUUCUUGGAUUUGUUAAGGAUGAACGACUGCGAAAGCAUUUGCCAAGGAUGCUUUCAUUG